rnacentral:rRNA from 1 species
AUUGAACGCUGGCGGCAUGCUUUACACAUGCAAGUCGAACGGUAACAGGCCGCAAGGUGCUGACGAGUGGCGAACGGGUGAGUAAUGCAUCGGAACGUGCCCAGUCGUGGGGGAUAACGCAGCGAAAGCUGCGCUAAUACCGCAUACGAUCUAUGGAUGAAAGCGGGGGACCGUAAGGCCUCGUGCGAUUGGAGCGGCCGAUGUCAGAUUAGGUAGUUGGUGGGGUAAAGGCUCACCAAGCCAACGAUCUGUAGCUGGUCUGAGAGGACGACCAGCCACACUGGGACUGAGACACGGCCCAGACUCCUACGGGAGGCAGCAGUGGGGAAUUUUGGACAAUGGGCGCAAGCCUGAUCCAGCAAUGCCGCGUGCAGGAAGAAGGCUUCGGGUUGUAAACUGCUUUUGUACGGAACGAAACGGUCCUGGUUAAUACCCGGGGCUAAUGACGGUACCGUAAGAAUAAGCACCGGCUAACUACGUGCCAGCAGCCGCGGUAA